rnacentral:rRNA from 1 species
CCUACGGGAGGCAGCAGUGGGGAAUAUUGCACAAUGGGGGAAACCCUGAUGCAGCGACGCCGCGUGAGUGAAGAAGCGUUUCGGCGCGUAAAGCUCUGUCAGCGGGGAAGAAACACGGUUCGCGAGAGCCGCGGACGGUACCCGACCAAGAAGCCCCGGCUAACUACGUGCCAGCAGCCGCGGUAAUACGUAGGGGGCAAGCGUUAUCCGGAUUUACUGGGUGUAAAGGGAGCGUAGACGGCAGAGCAAGUCUGAAGUGAAAGCCCGCGGCCCAACUGCGGGACUGCUUUGGAAACUGCCCGGCUAGAGUGCUGGAGAGGUAAGCGGAAUUCCUAGUGUAGCGGUGAAAUGCGUAGAUAUUAGGAGGAACACCAGUGGCGAAGGCGGCUUACUGGACAGUAACUGACGUUGAGGCUCGAAAGCGUGGGGAGCAAACAGGAUUAGAUACCCGAGUAGUC